AAGGAUGUAGCUCAGUGGCAGAGCAUCUGCAGUGCAUGCAGAAGGUACCAGUUUCAAUUGCUGGCAUCCCCA